UCCGCUGAGGAUGGCUUUUUCCCGGUGUAAUGAGCCUGGAGAAUAAGGAGAGGGCAAGUCUGGUGUCAGCCGCCGCGGUAAUACCAGCUCUCCGAGUGGUAGGGAUGAUUAUUGGGCUUAAAGCGUCCGUAGCCGGCUUAGCAAGUCUCCUGUUAAAUUCAGCGACCUAAUCGUUGAGCCGCGGGAGACACUACUAGGCUAGGAGGCGGGAGAGGCCGACGGUAUUCUCGGGGUAGGGGUGAAAUCCUAUAAUCCCGGGAGGACCACCAGUGGCGAAGGCUGUCGG
rnacentral:rRNA from 1 species